AAUAGAAAGUAUAGCUGUUGUCUGCUAUACUUUAUAGGUCUGCAGGAGGAUUGCUUGAGCCCAGGAGUUCUGGGCUGUAGAAUGUCAUGCUGAUAGGGUAUCUGCACUAAGCUCAACAUUAACAUAGUAUUCUCCUAGGAGCAGGGGACCAUCAAGUUGCCAAAGAAGGGGUGAAUAAGCUCAGUCAGAAACAUGGAAUCAAAACUCCUGCACUGAUGAGCAGUGGGCUCACACCUGUGAAUAGCCACUGCCCUCCGGCUUGGGCAAUAUAGCCAGACUCUGUCU
ensembl:misc_RNA Metazoa_SRP Metazoan signal recognition particle RNA